ACAAUACAUUGUUAAUAAAAUAACUAAAGAUAAUAACCGUUUGUGCAUAUUUUUUGCAUAGCAGGAUCUUUUUAGUGACAAUGAAGACGUUUCAUUUUUGUUUUGCUUGUUGGUGUAGUGUGAACAUGUAUCCACAGGGCGGAGGUAUUUCACCGAUAAUCAACAUUAAUGUUAAAAGCCACCACGAGCAGCUGUACGGUAUCGUGGCUGUACUUUGCUUUUGAACGAGUGUGUUAACGGCAGAGGGGAUGACAGUCAAGUUGGGGAAUUUCUCCUGCAGAACACUGGGUGGUUGCUCCUCCACAUCAAACUCUUCCAGAACCUUGGCCACCUUUCAGAGAGCAAAGGCACGUCAUGAGGCAUUGGAUGUGUAACCCCGAAUUUUCUUACGGUCCCAUGAAGAAGUGGGUCAGUCCGGUGAGAAGUGCCCCCACCGCCAUGAGAACGGAGCCCCCCGCGAUGAGCCUGGGCCGAUGCAUCUUGGCGCCAAAAUGGCUG